rnacentral:rRNA from 1 species
CCUACGGGGGGCAGCAGUGAGGAAUAUUGGUCAAUGGCCGGAAGGCUGAACCAGCCAUGCCGCGUGAAGGACAGGGGCCCAUGGGCGGUAAACUUCUUUUGUGCGGGAGCAAUAAUGGUCACGUGUGGCCAGACGAGAGUACCGUACGAAUAAGCAUCGGCUAACUCCGGGCCAGCAGCCGCGGUAAUACGGGGGAUACAAGCGUUAUCCGGAUUUAUUGGGUUUAAAGGGGGCGUAGGCUGUGAGGUAAGGCAGCGGUGAAAUGCCCCCGCUCCACGGGGUGAAGUGCCAUUGAUACUGCCUUGCUGGAGUGCGGAUGCCGUGGGAGGAAUGUGUGGUGUAGCGGUGAAAUGCAUAGAUAUCACGCAGAACACCGAUUGCGAAGGCAUCUCACGAAUCCGCGAUUGACGCUGAUGCACGAAAGCGUGGGUAUCAAACAGGAUUAGAUACCCUGGUAGUC